rnacentral:rRNA from 1 species
AUCUCAACUUUAUUAGAAGAGACGCAUUUAUUAGAUAAAAAGCCAGUUCAUGCUUUUACAGUAUGAAAAUUGGUGAUUUAUAAUAACUUAGCAAAUCGCAAAGUGAAAACAGGCGAUAAAUCAUUCAAGUUUCUGACCUAUCAGCUUUCGACGGUAUGGUAUUGGCUUACCGUGGCAGUGACGGUUAACGGGGGAUUAGGGUUCGAUUCCGGAGAGGGAGCCUGAGAAACGGCUACCACAUCUAAGGAAGGCAGCAGGCGCGCAAAUUACCCAAUUCUAACAGUUUGAGAGAGGUAGUAACAAGAAAUAACAAUACAAGGCAGUUAAAAUGCUUUGUAAUUGGAAUGAUAGAAAUUUAAACCCUUUUUAAAGUAUCAAUUGGAGGGCAAGUCUGGUGCCAGCAGCCGCGGUAAUUCCAGCUCCAAUAGCGUAUAUUAAAAUUGUUGCAGUUAAAAAGCUCGUAGUUGAAGUUCUGCUAAAAGUAACCGGUCUGCUUUUAAUAAAAGUGGUAUCUUGGUAUGUAUUUAGCAAUGAUGUCCUUUGAAGUGUUUUUUACUUUAUUGUAAUAAAGCAUAUUCAGGACUUUUACUUUGAGAAAAUUAGAGUGUUUCUAGCAGGCUGACGCUUUGAAUACUGCAGCAUG